AUUGAACGCUGGCGGCAUGCCUUACACAUGCAAGUCGAACGGUAACAGGUCUUCGGAUGCUGACGAGUGGCGAACGGGUGAGUAAUACAUCGGAACGUGCCUAGUAGUGGGGGAUAACUACUCGAAAGAGUGGCUAAUACCGCAUGAGAUCUACGGAUGAAAGCAGGGGAUCGCAAGACCUUGUGCUACUAGAGCGGCCGAUGGCAGAUUAGGUAGUUGGGUGGAUAAAAGCUUACCAAGCCGACGAUCUGUAGCUGGUCUGAGAGGACGAUCAGCCACACUGGGACUGAGACACGGCCCAGACUCCUACGGGAGGCAGCAGUGGGGAAUUUUGGACAAUGGGCGCAAGCCUGAUCCAGCAAUGCCGCGUGCAGGAUGAAGGCCUUCGGGUUGUAAACUGCUUUUGUACGGAACGAAAAGCCCCGGGUUAAUACCCUGGGGUCAUGACGGUACCGUAAGAAUAAGCACCGGCUAACUACGUGCCAGCCGCCGCAGUAA
rnacentral:rRNA from 1 species